UUGGAGGGCAAGUCUGGUGCCAGCAGCCGCGGUAAUUCCAGCUCCAAUAGCGUAUAUUAAAGUUGUUGCAGUUAAAAAGCUCGUAGUUGAAUUUCGGGGUCAGUAGGUUGGUCAUGCCACUGGUAUGUACUGGUCUCACUGAUUUCUCCUUCCUGAUGAACUGUAAUGCCAUUAAUUUGGUGUUGCAGGGAGUCUGGACUGUUACUUUGAAAAAAUUAGAGUGUUUAAAGCAGGCUAACGCCUGAAUACAUUAGCAUGGAAUAAUGAAAUAGGACGUUCGAUCCUAUUUUGUUGGUUUCUAGGAUUGACGUAAUGAUUAAUAGGGAUAGUUGGGGGCAUUAGUAUUCAAUUGUCAGAAGUGAAAUUCUUGGAUUUAUUGAAGACUAACUACUGCGAAAGCAUUUGCCAAGGAUGUUUUCAUUAAUCAAGAACGAAAGUUAGGGGAUCGAAGACGAUCAGAUACCGUCGUAGUCUUAACCAUAAACUAUGCCGACUAGGGAUCGGAUGAUGUUAAUUUUUUAAUGACUCAUUCGGCGCCUUACGGGAAAC
rnacentral:rRNA from 1 species